rnacentral:rRNA from 1 species
GACGAACGCUGGCGGCGUGCUUAACACAUGCAAGUCGAACGGAAAGGCCCUGCUUGCAGGGUACUCGAGUGGCGAACGGGUGAGUAACACGUGGGUGAUCUGCCCUGCACUUCGGGAUAAGCCUGGGAAACUGGGUCUAAUACCGGAUAGGAGCCAUUUUUAGUGUGAUGGUUGGAAAGUUUUUUCGGUGUAGGAUGAGCUCGCGGCCUAUCAGCUUGUUGGUGGGGUAAUGGCCUACCAAGGCGGCGACGGGUAGCCGGCCUGAGAGGGUGGACGGCCACACUGGGACUGAGAUACGGCCCAGACUCCUACGGGAGGCAGCAGUGGGGAAUAUUGCACAAUGGGCGCAAGCCUGAUGCAGCGACGCCGCGGGGGGGAUGACGGCCUUCGGGUUGUAAACUCCUUUCGCUAGGGACGAAGCUUUUUGUGACGGUACCUAGAUAAGAAGCACCGGCUAACUACGUG